rnacentral:rRNA from 1 species
AGCAGCCGCGGUAAUUCCAGCUCCAAUAGCGUAUAUUAAAGUUGUUGCAGUUAAAAAGCUCGUAGUUGAAUUUCGGGAUUAACGUGAUGGUCGUGCCUUAAGGGGUAUGAACUGUCGCUGUUGAUUUCUCACCUUCUGGAGAAACUUGAUGUCCUUAAUUGGGUGUCUUGCGGAUCCAGGACCUUUACCUUGAAAAAAUUAGAGUGUUUAAAGCAGGCAUUUUUGCUCGAAUACAUUAGCAUGGAAUAAUAGAAUAGGACGGCAUGGUUCUAUUUUGUUGGUUUCUAGGAUCACCGUAAUGAUUAAUAGGGAUAGUUGGGGGCAUUAGUAUUCAAUUGUCAGAGGUGAAAUUCUUGGAUUUAUUGAAGACUAACUACUGCGAAAGCAUUUGCCAAGGAUGUUUUCAUUAAUCAAGAACGAAAGUUAGGGGAUCGAAGACGAUCAGAUACCGUCGUAGUCUUAACCAUAAACUAUGCCGACUAGGAAUCAGACGAUGUUAAUUUUUUAAUGACUCGUUUGGCACCUUACG